rnacentral:lncRNA from 1 species
AAGCACCAACCAAAAGAAGAAAGGAGGAUAGAAAAAAUAAAAUGGAAGAUGUAGGGUGGGCAGAUUAGGGCUGCGUUUGUUGCUUGCUUUCAUGUUACCAUCAUAGCGUUUUUGCCACUUACAAAGGAGGAAAAAAAUCAAUUCUGUGCCAACCCAGACAACAGAGACCUGAGUGGGGGUUGGGAAGAGAGAUUUUUCAGCACAGAAUCAGACUCCUUCUCCAAAGAGCUGUGUGGCCUUCACCUGCAAGGCGACCUCUUCCACAAGCAGAGGCCAGGACAAAAAGAGGCACCUGUGAGCGACAAAGACGGUUUCCUUGGUUUCCCUCACGGCGCCAAGCGGAGUGGCCGCCUCCCACCACAGGGCCCCCUAAUGGGCGCUUUUGUCCUGCGGGGCAGAGGGACCUCAUUAGAAGGCGCUGGUGCUAAAGGGAAAUGCAUUUCCAGAACAGGAGGUUUCAUCAUUCCUAGCGUUAGCGACAGAAUGGUGACAGAAGCUCUGUGGACGUAUUUUCCAGCGUUCAGUUCACAUCAAGGAUGGGUAUGCACUGGCGGAAAAGGUCAGCUCGCAGAAUGAUCGCCCAUCCACACAGCGUUUGGAGGUCAGACGUUCCUGAUGACUGUGAAAAUGGGGAGGUGAGAAGAGGUCGUCAAAGGGAGCAGCCUUUUAAAGCCAGGUCAGCUGCUAACAAAUUUUGUGACUUUGGAAAAUGUACUGAACUUCUCUGAAUGUUUAUUUUUUUAUCCCAUCUGUUGAAACGGUGCUAAAAAUAUUAUCUACUCUU